rnacentral:rRNA from 1 species
GUCGACGAACUUCCGUUAAUUGAUUAUGACGUGCUUGCACUGAAUGAGAUUUUAACACGAAGUGAGUGGCGGACGGGUGAGUAACACGUGGGUAACCUGCCCAGAAGCAGGGGAUAACACCUGGAAACAGAUGCUAAUACCGUAUAACAGAGAAAACCGCCUGGUUUUCUUUUAAAAGAUGGCUCUGCUAUCACUUCUGGAUGGACCCGCGGCGCAUUAGCUAGUUGGUGAGGUAACGGCUCACCAAGGCGAUGAUGCGUAGCCGACCUGAGAGGGUAAUCGGCCACAUUGGGACUGAGACACGGCCCAGACUCCUACGGGAGGCAGCAGUAGGGAAUCUUCCACAAUGGACGCAAGUCUGAUGGAGCAACGCCGCGUGAGUGAAGAAGGGUUUCGGCUCGUAAAGCUCUGUUGUUAAAGAAGAACGUGGGUGAGAGUAACUGUUCACCCAGUGACGGUAUUUAACCAGAAAGCCACGGCUAACUACGUGCCAGCAGCCGCGGUAAUACGUAGGUGGCAAGCGUUAUCCGGAUUUAUUGGGCGUAAAGCGAGCGCAGGCGGUCUUUUAAGUCUAAUGUGAAAGCCUUCGGCUCAACCGAAGAAGUGCAUUGGAAACUGGGAGACUUGAGUGCAGAAGAGGAUAGUGGAACUCCAUGUGUAGCGGUGAAAUGCGUAGAUAUAUGGAAGAACACCAGUGGCGAAGGCGGCUGUCUGGUCUGUAACUGACGCUGAGGCUCGAAAGCAUGGGUAGCGAACAGGAUUAGAUACCCUGGUAGUCCAUGCCGUAAACGAUGAUUACUAAGUGUUGGAGGGUUUCCGCCCUUCAGUGCUGCAGCUAACGCAUUAAGUAAUCCGCCUGGGGAGUACGACCGCAAGGUUGAAACUCAAAAGAAUUGACGGGGGCCCGCACAAGCGGUGGAGCAUGUGGUUUAAUUCGAAGCUACGCGAAGAACCUUACCAGGUCUUGACAUCUUCUGCCAACCUAAGAGAUUAGGCGUUCCCUUCGGGGACAGAAUGACAGGUGGUGCAUGGUUGUCGUCAGCUCGUGUCGUGAGAUGUUGGGUUAAGUCCCGCAACGAGCGCAACCCUUAUUACUAGUUGCCAGCAUUCAGUUGGGCACUCUAGUGAGACUGCCGGUGACAAACCGGAGGAAGGUGGGGACGACGUCAAAUCAUCAUGCCCCUUAUGACCUGGGCUACACACGUGCUACAAUGGAUGGUACAACGAGUCGCGAAACCGCGAGGUUUAGCUAAUCUCUUAAAACCAUUCUCAGUUCGGACUGUAGGCUGCAACUCGCCUACACGAAGUCGGAAUCGCUAGUAAUCGCGGAUCAGCAUGCCGCGGUGAAUACGUUCCCGGGCCUUGUACACACCGCCCGUCACACCAUGAGAGUUUGUAACACCCAAAGCCGGU